rnacentral:rRNA from 1 species
AAUGAACGCUGGCGGCAGGCCUAACACAUGCAAGUCGAGCGAGCGGCGGACGGGUGAGUAAUGUAUGGGGACUGCCCGAUAGAGGGGGAUAACAACUGGAAACGGUAGCUAAUACCGCAUACUAUCGGAUAACCCAUAUGGGAUUAGCUAGUAGGUGAGGUAAUGGCUCACCUAGGCGACGAACCCUAGCCGGUCUGAGAGGAUGAUCAGCAACACUGGGACGGAGACACGGCCCAGAAGCCUACGGAGGUAGCAGUGGGGAAGAUUGCACAAGGGGCGCAAGCCUGAUGCAGCAAUGCCGCGUGUAUGAAGAAGGCCCUAGGGUUGUAAAGUACUUUCAGUCGGGAGGCGUUACCGACAGAGGAAGCAACGGCUAACUCCGUGCCAGCAGCCGCGGUAAUAC